rnacentral:antisense_RNA from 1 species
GUCACAACCCCCAGGAGACCUGGAGAACUGAAUGCUGCUGCCCCCAAGGAGGAGGCUGCUGUCUUAUCCCAGGAGGGAGAGCAGGAAAAUAAAAAGGUUCAAAAGGAAGUUGCUGCGUAUCCAUCUGAGGCCUCUGAGGACAGCAAAGAGCA